rnacentral:lncRNA from 1 species
UCGGCCGCCAAGCGCCGCUCGGGGCUCUGCGUGCGUCCCCGGAGCGGAGCGGCGGUCCCGGGGACCCCCACCCGACCCGGCCCCUCCAUACUGGAGCCUCCCCCGCCCUAAGGCCGCUAUCCCGCGGUGCAGGCCCGUGGCCCGGCCCGGCCUUGUUGUGGUGCGGCCCGGCGGGCCCCGCUCUGCCGCCGGCCUGGCCGAGGCGUCCCGGGGUGCGGAUAUGGGGGGAUUUUGGGGCGCGGAGAUGGAGCGAUGGGUGUUAGGGGGCCUCGGGCUUCGGGUGGUCUUGUGUCAGCGGGUAUGGCUGCACCCUGCAAGUAUUACUAACAGUAAUAACAACAGUUAAGCAGAGGGGCCCCAGAUUUUGGUGGGGAAAGUGGCUCCCACACGAAUUGGGAACGGUGCUACCCCCAGGGCUACUGGCACUUUUGUAAAAGGCAGCUGUGGUGCCUUGGCCCAGUGCUGCUCAUGCAAGGAGACAGAAAUGGGGGAAAAAGAAAGUGGGGAAAGGGUCUCCUUUCAUAGACUGCAGAACGUUUGGAGGAAUGUUCUGUCAAAAGCGAUGUGCUUGGCUGGCAGUGUUUUCUGCUCCUUGUCCUAAAAGUUAAUCAGAUUUUCUUUUGUUUUUCAAGAAAACAGUCACUGUUGAUCCAUGAGAGAUGCAGCCUAGAGUGUUCCAGCUAUUAGAAAUUACACACCACAAGCAGCCCUAUGGCAACAAGGAGGAUCAAACAGACCUCUUUGUGAGCUGUUGGUACAUGCGAUGAAGGUGAAAGGACUGGUAAUUCAACCUAAUGUUUCUGGAGGACAGCCUGAGAGAUCCUGAAAAAGAAGGUCUAGGGAAGACCCAAACAGUUAAAAGGUAUUUUUAUUCUCUUCUUGGCUAAAGAAGUUGCAC